GGAAGAUGUUAGCACCAGACAAUUGUUGCAGUGUGAAAAGACCCAGAGGCAAGUGAUGGAAGGGACAAUUCUCUGGAGAGUACUCUUACUGGAAGGCAAUGUGUCUAGCGCCACCCUUUAAGUAAAUGAAGGGCACCAAAAGUGGUUGGACCAACAACCCUUUGAAUUUGGCCUAUCACCUCAGGAUCCAAACAGACCUGUUGUCCUCCAAACAAAGAAUUACGCACCUGUCUUCAAUCAGCCUCAUCACCACCGGUGUAUAUAAGCCAGCCUGUUCCCGGAAAUCCUCGCCUAAGUAUUGCAGCCUCUCCUAGCGGUACCACGGCCCACCUUACUCAAGUAAGCCACUUAACUCCUCGUUCCCAGUGCUCCCCUAUGUUCCUGACCCACGUCAUUCCUGCCACCAAGCCAGCCGUCUGUUCUGUCCACUGCCUGCCACCUGUCCACGCCGCCGCCUGCCAAAACAUCCAGGACCACCUCCAUAGCCUUUCCUCAAUAAACUGUUCAUCAUUUUACA